CUCAUGUUCACCUGGUGUACGAAAUGUAUCAGAUGGAGCUGUCAGUCACUGUGUAUCAUUAACAUGUUGGAAAAUCACUAUGUGUAUAUUACUAGCAAAUACUUAUUGUAAACAUAAAAAUAAAAAGAAUAAUUAUCUCCUUACUAGUAAUGUAACAGGUAUUAUUACGUAAUUCAAAACACAGCGCCGGUUGAGGUUACUUAUGGACAAUUUAUUCUUGACACAGUGACCUAUAAGUUAGUUUAUGCAUGUCGCACAUAUCCAACGUGCGCUAAAUUAAAAUAACUUUCAAAUAUACUAUUUCAACACAUUUAAAGGGAGGUAACUCUUACAAUUACAAUGUAAAACACUCUCAUUCUUAGACUUUUAUAGCUGAGGAUAUAUGAAUUCAAGGUACAAUGAAAUUCACAACCCGGUGCAAAACGAAAGUCGCAUUAGUAAUGCUUGUACGUGUUCAGUGUACAUGUAUGUGUCAGAGGCAGAUGAUGAGGGGAAAACUGUCAAUCUUUGUGAUGAUCUGCUAAAUAUAUGUACAUGUACCAUUAUAUUGUAUACAAAAAAUUUAAAGAAACAAAAACAAACAACUAUCAUCUUGCUAGUAUAUUAUUCAUUUUUAUGUCAGUUUUCUCUGUCGUGAAAGCUAUCGCUUUUCAUCGCCAGACCGGACCGUGUCCCGCCAGACGUUUUCCACACGCUCCCACUGAUUUGUAGUGACAUGCGCACAAAGCUCUCUGUGUGGUAAGAGUAGUUUCUACCUAAGUAUGAACAAUUAAGAAAUAUAAACGGCUAUCAAAUAAUGUCGCCAUGAAGUCCCCUCCUGGUUCUCUCAACAUUGUAUACUCACUUGAGAAUAGAUGUAUUUUUUUCCGCUAAAAAAAUGAUAUUCAAGAAGAGAAACAGAAGAUAGUCAAUAGUUUCAGUAAUGAAUAUAAGUAUAUCCUGAAGUAUUAGUUUAGAUCGGAUAUACAGAAUUUAGAUUUGAAAAAUGUAUACCCAUUAAAAUUCAUAGUUCAUCUAUGUAAUAGGCAUAUAUAUAACAUAAUAAACAGGGUUUUUUUUAUAUUGCAAACUAGACCAAAACACUGUCAGUAUAAUAAACUAUGUAAAAUACCAUGAUUUUCUAAUAUGCAUUUUAUAAAGAAUUGAUGUUUAUGGUGGGUGUGCGCAAGCAUGCAGGAAAAUAUUAUUAGACGCAUCAUGGAGAAAUGUUCUACUAAUUUUGAACUUAAAGUAAGCUUGUUUUAAAAGUUACCCCCACCCCCUAUCAUAAGCACUAUUAACAAUACCAUCGAUGUGUUCCUACCAGCUGAGGUAGAAUAGCAUUAGACUGGACUGCACUCCAGUCUGUCACCUUAGAAAAAUAAUGUAGGUGAAAUGGAGUUGCCUUAGACGUGUGAAAGUGAGUUAAAUUUCAUUUGUAAUAGAACUACAUAAUAGAUAUUCAUUGUAGUCAAUGUAAGCCCCGCACACUACACAAUGUUCGCAUAUUAUCUGAAAACAAUAGACACUCCUGAAUGCAUAAUCAAAUAUAUCCCCACCGUGAAAAAAAAAAGAUAUUUUAUUUUGUCGUAAUUGAAAUUUUGUGUUUCGCAUUAACUAUAUAAGCACAGCUUGUCAUAUUCAAUGUAUUGACUACUAGUGAGUGCAAUAUUAGCACAGCUUGUCAUAUUUGUCGUAUUGACUAGUAGUGGGUGCAAUAUUAGCACAGCAUUAACAUCAUUAGAAUUGAAUAGAUUUGUGAAUGAAAUGCAUGUACAAAGACUAAUUGUAUAUAUUACAUUUGAUAUAAUUCAUAUGUUGUAAUCAGUGGCGGAUUUAAGGGUGGGGGACGCAACCGGCGCGCGCGCCCCUAAAUUUUUUUAAUUUAAGUUAAAUCGUGGUAUCUUGUUUAGAACAAUGUACUAAACGAUAAAAGAAGCAAUAAUUUCUUCCACUCCCGGUGACAAAAUCUUUUGAUUUCUUCAAUUACUUUAUUGGGAGAACUUAAUUUUUUCCAAAAACCCUUAGAAUUUGCGUCAUUUUAUUAAUUUAAUAUAUGAAAAAUGAUGGAAAAUAGUACAAAUGACUAGCUAGGAGACAUAUUUCAAGCCCUAAAAAAUCUGUAAAAUUCAGGGGCUUCCGGGGGCUUCGCCCCCUGGGCCUCCCACCAGGGGCCUUAUGACGGCCCCCAGACCCGCUGCCUCAUAAAGUGGCGCCCCCGUAACCGCAAUUCCUGGAUCCGCCCCUGGUAAUUGAUUGAUUAUGCUAUAUUUGUAUGUGUUGUAAUUAAUAAAUUAAUUAUACAUUACAUUUGAAAUAAUUUAUAAUUAUCUGUUGUACAAUGACUUAUCAUUACAUGCUUCAUCAAAUCAAGUAUUUAGUGACAUUAUUUUUUUUUUUUUACUUUGAACAUGUCCAUUCGUCUAUGUAAAGAAAUCGAAAUACUUUAUCUGUCAGUCAUGGUCCCAUUGUGGGGAAUAACAUAAAUAUAACAAGCAUAAUUUGUGCAACAUACAUGUACAUGGGAACAAAUUAAAAGACACAGCAACCCGUACAAAAAAUACAGCAACUAAAAUUAAAAGACACAGCAACCCGGACAAGAAAUACAAACACAGCACUGUUAACGCAACAGACCAAUCUCACACCAGAGGGCGUAUUACACUACGCGACAACACCUCUGUCAACGUCUGAAUGUCAAGAUUCGCUGUAAAACUUAUUUCUACCUAUUCACGGCUACCCAUGUCCUAAAUCAUAAUGUAUCGGUUAUGCAAGAAAAUCCGUUUGGAGUGUUUCCGGUUAUGAGUUAAAAGAGAACAACACGCCGCUUCGACAGGAACGUAUUCACCAAAACUAAAUAAAGAUGCUGCUUAUCUGGAACCAAAGACGUGGCAAUCAAGGCUAGACCCAGAUAGUAUGUCAACUUUAUGUAUAGUAGGUGCAGAGAAUUGAAGAAGAUAGAGUGUAUUAUUCUAAGGGACAAUUUAGACAGAGAUGCCUCCAAAAAAAUGUAUUUACCGAAUGCACCAAAUCGACAUGCCAGAGAACAACCCAUCAGGCAACAUGAUGGUUACAGAAUAAACGACUCUAAGCUGUUGCAGCCAGAGACUUGGACUAAACUUUGAUUACAUGUCAGAAUCUAAUGUGUAAUAAAAAUACUAGUUCAUUUUGAGCGUGGUAGAAUAAUUACUAAACUAACAAAAAUGUACAUUCGGAAUACUCCUCAUCUGACCAAUGAUAUCAAACAAGUUGUUGUCACCAUUUGGCGUCUUUUGUCCGCUGACUAAAUUCCACAUGAGAACCACUGAAUGAAAAUUAACCAAACGGGGUAGAGUUCUUCCAGAAUUGCUGUUUCUCUAAAUCAGAUUCGUUUAGAUGAUUGUGAGAGUAGAUGCCCUACAAAACCUACUUCUUUUUGAAAAAUUAUAAAACAUUGCUAUAAAACAAAGCAAACGUUUUCUCUCUAAACUGCUAUUAAGAAAGGUACCUGCAAUUUGAUACCGGUUUUUUCUAUGCAAAAAAAUAACAGCCCGUAAAACAGGCCUUUGGGUGGGGUUAAUCCAAUUCAUUUUGCCUUGGAUUCAUGGCCUUGAUUUCUUGUUGCUACCCACCCUUUUUUGUGGGCAGGCAAUAUUUUUAUGCUAGUCUUUUUACAUAUGUGUAUGCAAUAGGGGGUCAUCUUGUUAGACCCCCUAUCGGAUGUUUUUAUUUUGUGUAUAUAUGUUCUCUUUCUCAAUGUCAAUUUUAUAAAUGUAUGUAACAGGGGGUUAUCUAGUCAUUUGCAGCAUAUGAUCUUAAUUUUUACUUGGUUUUAAUGACCCCCUGUACUGUAUAUACUUUUCGUCAUUUACUAAAUAAAUGACAUUUUCUAUUCUCAAA